rnacentral:lncRNA from 1 species
GUUCCAUAGGGCUCUGGCAAGUAGUGCACUAUAUAGGGAAUAGGGUUCCAUAGGGCUCUGGUCAAUAGUAGUGCACGACAGAAAGAUGCCUUUUUGGGACACUGACCAGUUGGUCAUGUAUGUGCCUCCUUUAGUAAAUGCUAAAGUUAAAAUAAACAAAACGUCAUAUUGUACAAGAACAACCAAUUGAUGUUGAUUUGUAAAUAUGCUUCUUCUGCUUUCUGAGCUGUUUGUUUUGACUGUGAUAAUGAUGGCGUGUUGGUUUUUUCUAUUGUGUUUAUGUCCAGUGUCUCUCCUACAGUACGUGAGUCCUGUUAUAGCUGGUAACGUGGAAUAGAGAAGUGGUUCUGUGGCCGUACAUAAACGGCCUGCCCUAUUCCCUAUUUAACUGCACUACUUUAGACCAGGGCCCUAUGGGUCGUGGUCAAAAGGUAGUGUGCACUAUGUAGGGAAUAAGGUGCAUUUUGGGGUCCAUCCUCAAUCUGUCCUGCUCCACAGAGGUCAGGGACCUGUUGGGAUCCAUCCUCAAUCUGUCCUGCUCCUCAGAGGUCAGGGGCCUGUUGGGAUCCAUCCUCAAUCUGUCCUGCUCCUCAGAGGUCAGGGGCCUGUUGGGAUCCAUCCUCAAUCUGUCCUGCUCCUCAGAGGUCAGGGGCCUGUUGGGAUCCAUCCUCAAUCUGUCCUGCUCCUCAGAGGUCAGGGGCCUGUUGGGAUCCAUCCUCAAUCUGUCCUGCUCCUCAGAGGUCAGGGGCCUGUUGGGAUCCAUUCCAAUUGAACUUGGUCAAUUCAGGAAAUAAACUGAUAUUCCAAUUCAAUAAUUAAAAUUAUUUCUAAAAUAACCUGAAAACGAGAAGCUAUUUAUUUCAAAAGUUUUUCCAUCUUUUAAUUAGGAAUCAGAUGGUGUUAGAGUGGAGGAGGGGGGUUCAGAAAGGUUUUUCCAUCUUUUAAUUAGGAAUCAGAUGGUGUUAGAGUGGAGGAGGGGGUUCAGAAAGGUUUUUCCAUCUGUUAAUUAGGAAUCAGAUGGUGUUAGAGUGGAGGAGGGGGGUUCAGAAAGGUUUUUCCUCUGUUAAUGCUGUCAUCUAGAUGAUCUGUUGUAUCCAGUUUAAAUGAAUCCAUGUGUCAGCGCGUGUUGACGGACGACCGAGGCACCACCUGUGCUCGUGUUGAAAAAGUAUUUGGUUUUAAAUAUACAGAAGUAUAAAAAGUUAAUAUAAUUGCUAAAAUAUACUUAAGUAUCAAAAGUAAAAGUUUAAAUCAUUUAAAAUUCUUUAUAUUAAGCAAAUCAGACGGCAGCAUUUUCUUGUUUUUUAAAAUGUUAUUUACAGACAUAAUUUACAAACUAGUGAGUCCACCAGAUCAGAGGCAGUAGGGAGGACCAGGGAUGUUCUCUGUUUAGUGAGUCCUCCAGAUCAGAGGCAGUAGGGAGGACCAGGGAUGUUCUCUGUUUAGUGAGUCCUCCAGAUCAGAGGCAGUAGGGACGACCAGGGAUGUUCUCUGUUUAGUGAGUCCUCCAGAUCAGAGGCAGUAGGGAUGACCAGGGAUGUUCUCUGUUUAGUGAGUCCUCCAGAUCCGAGGCAGUAGGGAUGACCAGGGAUGUUCUCUGUUUAGUGAGUCCUCCAGAUCAGAGGCAGUAGGGAUGACCAGGGAUGUUCUCUGUUUAGUGAGUCCUCCAGACCAGAGGCAGUAGAGAUGACCAGGGAUGUUCUCUUGAUAAGUGUAUAAAUUAGACUAUUUUCCUGUCCUGCUAAACAUUCAAAAUGUACUUUUGGCUGUCAGGGAAAACGUAUGGAGUAAAAAGUACAUUUUCUUUAGGAAUGUAGUGAAGUAAAAGUUGUAAAAUAUAAAUAAAGUACAGAUACCCAGAAAACAUUUUACUGAAGCACUUUACACCACUGGUGUACAUUGAAUGUGUAUUUUACAUUUGUGAAAUUAUUUCGAUGUGAUAUGAAAGUAAAGGGGGUUUGUGUCUCUAGAACUGUAUCACAAUUGAGAAGCUGAUUCAUGUUUAGACGGAGUAUUUGUCUGUUUUUGGCUUCCAGAGCCAGUCUACCUCUGAAAAUAACAUAAUGGCCUUGGACCUUAAAGAGUAACCUUAGGCCUCUUUAAUAAGAGGUCAUCUUGGGUUAGAACUGGGCCCUGUUGUAAAUCUGGCACCACUACCACCAUCCUCCACAUCUCAACCCUGGAACAGCGUGAAAGGAGGGGAGAGUUCUGGACACCGAGGCCCCUCCGUGAGACUGUUUGGACUGCAUGAGAAGGGUCACAAAGCACCUCUGUUUCCAGGGGCUGUAGAGGACACCUCUACUGCUUCAGCAACACUUGGACGUCCCGCUCUAUUCAAUUUAAACAAAAGUUUGUCCUUCCUUCCUGUCUGUUUUUUUGUGCGGUUUGAAGUGAGACUUCUUUGAAACAGACUGACGAUAACCAGUUUUCUUUGUGUAUAGUUAUGGAUGUGCUAUAAUUUUUCUGAUUAUGCCACAACGUAAUAUUGAGAUUUUACAUUGUGUUUUUUUUUUU